GACUCCCUGACCUUCUGGCCGGCUUCCCAGCAGUCAGAGCACCAGGGAAAACACAGAGACACGCUCACGUCAGGGAAACUUCCAGGGGAGCCCACAUGAUGCAUGCAGCCCCUUCCUGAGCCCCCCGCGCUGACCUUGAAUCCACAAGCCACCAGAACUGCCUGAAGGUAAUCAGGAUGUGACCCAGCUAAUUACACACCAGCAAUUCGCAACAGCUCUUUCUGUUCCUUCCUGGCCCCGGCUAAGGCUACGUCUGCACAGGCCAGAUAGGCUUACAGAACGGACUUAAGAGACCAGUUAGUGCAACGUCCGUGCCGCCUUUCAUUAAACCAUAUAGAACAACCAUUGACCGUAGAAAUGAAACGGAUCCUCCAAAGUUAAUCAACAAAGAAGAUUCAUCUCCUUUUCUCUGAGCUGAAGAUACAAGUACAGAGAAUGAAACCAUCUCCGUUCUCAGGUGGAGGGAACGAGCCCUCUGAAAGUUCCAAAAGUCUGAGUUCUAGAAUAAAGACAGCGCCGAUGUCUCAAGGAGCCAGGAGUGACCUUUGGAAGUGACCUUUGGCGGUCUAGUCCAGUGAGUACAGACUCAUGAACGUCUCCGUGAGCGACCCAUCUUCCUGUCAUCCUUGCCUCUAGCUGUUGGCUCCUUUCCAGUGUGCAGCCCAGGACUGAGCACGCAGCAGGUGCUCAAUGACUCCUGAUGGGUCCAUUGAUUACCAGCUGUUCUGUAACCACCUCGGGAUCCGGAGUUGACACUGCUAGAUUCAAAGGCCUCUCAAAUCCCUCCAGCUCUAACUCUGUGAUCCUAUGACGGGGCUAGUGAAAAACUGGCCAGACAGCAUAGAAAAAUAGGUUUUGAGCUUUGGGAAAUUUCAGGGAGUUGGCAAGGAUUAGGGUUAGGGUUCAUGUUUUACUUACUAAGAAAUUAAAUUCUGGAACUUUUUGUGCAUCGUCAGGCAGUGUUGAGAACACAGCAAGAAGGGCAGUGUGAAUAUGUGUAGGUAUGUCAUCAUUUGUGCACAGAGAGAAUGAAAAUGAUCAGAGACUCAUUUUGUGUGUAGUCCAAUACUUCACUGGUCACCGAUUUUUACUGGUGUUCUACUCCUUCCAACAACAUCAGUUAUACUCCUUGUAGAACUUAAUGGAUCAUCUUUGAGUAUUGCCAAGGCCAAUAAGUGAUGUGAGGAGAGGCUCAAUCCAAAACAAUUUCUCCCUCCUCUAGGUCCCAAUAAUGUAACUGGGAUCCUCUGCCCUUCCCAAAGGGCUCUGAGCAUGAUGGAUACUUUCCUGGAUUCAAGGGGAUUGAGAUGGAUCCAAAAUGGUUUUGGAAAUGUAAGGGAAAUGAUUAUUUAAUGUACUACUUCAAGCUCCCUAGAUCUGGGGAAUCUGAACUUAUUUAUUAUUAAUCAUGAAUACCAUACUCUGCUACACAUAAUUACAAUACAGCCAUAAUAAUAUGGUGAAUUUACAUGGGGUCUCUCUUCUAAAGACCUCAACAUAUUUCCAUAUACUAUUUCACUAAUUAGGCUUUUAAUAUUCACCUGGUAGAGAAGGAGCAGCCAUUAUCCUUAACUUAGUGACAGAAUGAAAGCCCCUUGAGGGCCAGGUCCAUUUCAUUUUUGUUUCUAUAUCUCCAUUGCCUAUCAUAAUAUAUGGUGCAAAAUGGGAAUUGAAUAAAUGCUUUUUAGCUGAUUGAUUUUACAGAUGGAGAAAGUGAGCUCAGACACAUUAAUUGGUAACCUUGGAAUUCUUAUAUCGCCUCAUUCUGGACUCUUAAAUGAGGAGAUUUGACUAGAAAUUUUCUUUGGUCCCUUCAACAUCUAGGAUUCAAAAUAAGUUUAGUCCCCACCCCUUCCCAACCCUUACCCCCCUCUCCAAACAUCCAGUGCAUGUUAUUGGCAGAGCAAGAUAUCAAAAUCCUGGUUUUCACAUUCCUCACCCAGUGCUCUCUUGGACAAGAUUGCUCAAGAGAAAUCCUGCGGUAGGCACCUUCUGAGAGUCCCAGCAUUUGUAGAAUACAUUAAAAAGCACAAAGGGAGUUCUAUCUUAAAACAUGCCUCCCUCUUUCUUGGGAAUGCUGAUUAAUUACGCAAAGAGACUAGCUUUGAGUCAAACAUCCCACUUUGUUGUCUCUUCUGUGACUCACUAUUAUGCUGAUUAACAGAGCCAGAGAAGAACACACUCUAUACUCAGAUUAGAGUGGGGGAAGGUGCCAGGCAACAACUCUGCUGGGCAGCUCCCUCCAUUUAUUCAGAGCCCAUAGUUCUAUGACAUUUCACCAGCCUUCAUCAAUUCUGUUCCAUUUCAUUCAAUCACAUUCCAGUCCAAGCCCACCUUGUCCAUUCUACUCCAUUCCCCUCCUCCAAUUUCAUUCCAUUCCCCUCCAUUCCAUAAGCAUUUAUGGAGCAGUUACUGUGUGGCCAACUCUUUUCCUGGCUUGAGCUAAAUUUGACCUGUAGUUAGUUUUGAGAGGAAUAUGGUAGAAAUGAGAGACAUCUAGAUAUUGUCAUUAUCAUUAUUUUUGUGGUUAAAUAAUGGAAUAGAAAGGGGACUAAACAGCAACAAAAACCCCUAUACACUUGUCUUGACACUACCACUCACUGAUGUAUGGCCUUGGGCAUAUGUAUUAGCUUCUACGGACCUCAACGUCCACAUUUGUAAGAUUAGUCUACUUCUAAGUUUACUUCUCUAUUUAUAAUCCUAUGAACCUUCUUUGGGAUCUAAUUUCUUUCUCUAUAAAGUAGGGUUGAACAACCUUGUCAAUACCAUGGCCGGGGAUGAGAACCACUGAGUCAACACUGACAUGGAAAAGCAGCAGAGAUCAUGGUGGGGAGGCUGUGCUGUAUCCAUUGUAGCUUUGUAGGACAGCCCACAGCAGGGAAAUUUAAUGAAGAAAAACUCUAGAGUCUUCUGCUGGUAGUUCUUAGCCUGGCCAUUGUUUUGGAGCCUUAUGCAACACUUGAUCAUUUGCAGAGGGUGGUUCAAACUUUACUAAGCCCCUGGGUCAUGGAGCAGAAAUGGCUGCGUUAUCCUCAGUCAGACAUGGCAAAGCAGAAAGCAGUUGUCCGGUUCAGCACUGAGAUGAUGGAAAGCACCAACUCACUUUGAGCUGCCUGCCAUUCAGUGGGCAGCAAUGCUGUUACCAAGAUUAUCUAAGACAGAGGAUUGUGACCAGGGCCAAUAGAUUCAAUAAACCUCACCUACUUUUAUGCUUCCAAGAGUGGAAGCGUGAGGUUGAAUUGUCUAGGUUUCCUGAGGAGAAAUGCCCUUGAUUAAUUGUUUUUCUGUGUCCCUUUCCUGAUACACAAAGCUGGGCUUUCUGGGUACACACAGAAGCAGCUAGGGGAAAAGCAUCUGUGUCUGCAUCCCUCCCUGGGCAUCUCCUGUCUUGUAGCAGCACUUGGCAUUUUCCCUGUGUGGUAAGGGGUCAGCGUUUUUCUGAGAGUCUAAUCUGUGAUGAGAUGUUUGGUUAUAUUUGACUCCGUUCCAUUUCGGAGAUUUCAUCGCAUCACACCACAAGGUAGCUUGCCGAUAUAAAGUCCCUUUUCUUAUCUGAUGAUGUCCCCAUGCUUUGUUCCCUGAUUCGUGGACAGUAGCCAUGGAAGCUAGGUGUAAUGUCUGAAUGAUCCCUCCCCAUGGCCGUCCAUGUACUGUGGCAACAUUUGGCAUUAUUGGCUGCUGGAGAGUGACAGUGAUGCAAUCUUCCAGUCCAAGCAAGUCUGUGAUGAGAAAGGUUUUGAGAAAGCCUGGGCUGCAUCUCUGAGCUUCACAAUGACUUCAUCUCUGCAGCUCAGAGAUUCCUAUUGAAGCAAGUAGAAAUGAUCUGUUCUUGCCUGUAUGAUUACAAUGUGAUUGCCUUAGUGAAUUCUUGGAGUGAAUAGAAUACUGGAGUGGAUUGAAUACUGGACUGGAAUAAGGAGAACCUGAGU